AGAGCACUGUUUGGACUAGGGGCCCUUCUCGGGUUACCGAAUUCAGAUAAACUCCGAAUGCCAUGUACUUAUACUCGGGAGUCAGACUGCGAGUGAUAAGAUCCGUAGUCGAAAGGGAAACAGCCCAGACCACCAGUUAAGGUCCCCAAAUAUAUGUUAAGUGGAAAAGGAUGUGGGGUUGCUUAGACAACCAGGAUGUUGGCUUAGAAGCAGCCACCAUUGAAAGAGUGCGUAAUAGCUCACUGGUCGAGUGACCCCGCGCCGAAAAUGUACCGGGGCUAAACAUAUUACCGAAACUGUGGAUGAACCUCUUUAGAGGUUCGUGGUAGGAGAGCGUUCUAAGGGCGGUGAAGUCAGACCGGAAGGACUGGUGGAGCGCUUAGAAGUGAGAAUGCCGGUAUGAGUAGCGAAAGAAGGGUGAGAAUCCCUUCCACCGAAUAUCUAAGGUUUCCUGAGGAAGGCUCGUCCGCUCAGGGUUAGUCGGGACCUAAGCCGAGGCCGAUAGGCGUAGGCGAUGGACAACAGGUAGAGAUUCCUGUACCAGUGCUAAUUGUUUAACCGAUGGGGUGACACAGAAGGAUAGGGAAUCGCACGAAUGGAAAUGUGCGUCCAAGCAGUGAGUGUGAGAAGUAGGCAAAUCCGCUUCUCGCGAAGCAUGAGCUGUGAUGGGGAAGGAAAUUAAGUACGGAAGUUCCUGAUUUCACGCUGUCAAGAAAAGCCUCUAGGAAGAGUAGUACUGCCCGUACCGCAAACCGACACAGGUAGAUGAGGAGAGAAUCCUAAGGUGAGCGAGAGAACUCUCGUUAAGGAACUCGGCAAAAUGACCCCGUAACUUCGGGAGAAGGGGUGCUCUAUUAGGGUGCAAGCCCGAGAGAGCCGCAGUGAAUAGGCCCAGGCGACUGUUUAGCAAAAACACAGGUCUCUGCAAAACCGUAAGGUGACGUAUAGGGGCUGACGCCUGCCCGGUGCUGGAAGGUUAAGAGGAGUGCUUAGCUUCGGCGAAGGUACGAAUUGAAGCCCCAGUAAACGGCGGCCGUAACUAUAACGGUCCUAAGGUAGCGAAAUUCCUUGUCGGGUAAGUUCCGACCCGCACGAAAGGCGCAACGAUCUGGGCACUGUCUCAACGAGAGACUCGGUGAAAUUAUAGUACCUGUGAAGAUGCAGGUUACCCGCGACAGGACGGAAAGACCCCGUGGAGCUUUACUGCAACCUGAUAUGGAAUGUUUGUACCGCUUGUACAGGAUAGGUAGGAGCCGAAGAGACGUGUGCGCUAGCAUACGAGGAGGCAAUGGUGGGAUACUACCCUGGCUGUAUGACCAUUCUAACCCGCCACGCUUAGCGCGUGGGGAGACAGUGUCAGGUGGGCAGUUUGACUGGGGCGGUCGCCUCCUAAAGAGUAACGGAGGCGCCCAAAGGUUCCCUCAGAAUGGAUGGAAAUCAUUCGCAGAGUGUAAAGGCACAAGGGAGCUUGACUGCGAGACUGACAAGUCGAGCAGGGACGAAAGUCGGGCUUAGUGAUCCGGUGGUUCCGCAUGGAAGGGCCAUCGCUCAACGGAUAAAAGCUACCCCGGGGAUAACAGGCUUAUCUCCCCCAAGAGUCCACAUCGACGGGGAGGUUUGGCACCUCGAUGUCGGCUCGUCGCAUCCUGGGGCUGUAGUCGGUCCCAAGGGUUGGGCUGUUCGCCCAUUAAAGCGGCACGCGAGCUGGGUUCAGAACGUCGUGAGACAGUUCGGUCCCUAUCCGUCGCGGGCGCAGGAAAUUUGAGAGGAGCUGUCCUUAGUACGAGAGGACCGGGAUGGACACACCGCUGGUGUACCAGUUGUUCCGCCAGGAGCAUCGCUGGGUAGCUAUGUGUGGCAGGGAUAAACGCUGAAAGCAUCUAAGCGUGAAGCCCCCCUCAAGAUGAGAUUUCCCAUUUCUUCGGAAAGUAAGAUCCCUGAAAGAUGAUCAGGUAGAUAGGUUUGGAGUGGAAGUGUAGCGAUACAUGGAGCGGACAAAUACUAAUCGAUCGAGGACUUAACCAAAA
rnacentral:rRNA from 1 species